UUAAAUGAGUCUUUAUCUACAUGCAGGU
rnacentral:piRNA from 1 species